rnacentral:rRNA from 1 species
UACGAAGGGGGCUAGCGUUGCUCGGAAUCACUGGGCGUAAAGGGCGCGUAGGCGGCCAUUCAAGUCGGGGGUGAAAGCCUGUGGCUCAACCACAGAAUUGCCUUCGAUACUGUUUGGCUUGAGACCGGAAGAGGUCAGUGGAACUGCGAGUGUAGAGGUGAAAUUCGUAGAUAUUCGCAAGAACACCAGUGGCGAAGGCGGCUGACUGGUCCGGUUCUGACGCUGAGGAGCGAAAGCGUGGGGAGCGAACAGG